CAGGCCAGAAUACUGGAGUGGGUUGCCAUGCCCUCUUCCAGGGGAGAUACAUAUAUAUAUAUAGAGAGAGAGAGAGGUUUCAAGUUUCUCUCUGUAUCUUUAGGUAUAGAUACAUGCAUACUCCCAGGUAAAGGAUUGGCUUCUCUUAGGACUAGGCCUGAUAGAGGCACCAGUGUUCCCCAUGUUGCUGUGUUGGUCAGGUGGGGAUGACCGAAGAACACUGGCCCUACUGCAGCCCUGAAACCGUGGGUAACCAUUAGUCAAAAUUCCGUGUCACCUGCCUUUACUAGUCAAGGUUAUCUACAAAAGGCUUGCACGUCCCCCAUGCAGCAGGUAGCCUAAAACAGUAAGAUGUUUGUCAGAGUUAUUUUCCAGGAACUUGGGAGUCUGCUGCAUCUAGUUUGAGCUGAGCCAGUUGAGACUGGACAAGACCACCAACCCUUGAAACGGCGUGCACGAGUGUCUGCCCAGUGACCUUCGAUGGCAGAGGGCUCGCAACCACCCUCAGGCGGCGCGUGGUGCCUGCAUUUUCCAGUUAUGCGCUGACGCUUGUAGCCUAGUGACACCUGUGCAGAAUAUCUGUUACCUCACCUUUCCCCACACUCCCCACACCUCAGGCUACCCUGCAUCUUUAUUCUUUAUUCCUUAAGUGCCCUGAGCCCCUUGCCUGUGGGGAGGUACAUGUGAGGCUUAUUCGCCCCUGGCUGCCUUGUGAACAAGCCCCCUCUCUGCUGCAAACCUCAGCACCUCAGUGUUUUGGCUGCUGCGUGGGGAGCAAAAUGAACCUGGUACCUGGUCUGGCAACAGCCCCUGAGAGGUCUAGUUCCCAGUCUGGCUCAGCAGAGACGCGGGGAGUCCCACUUCUGCUGCUUCCACCUGUCAGCAGCCCCGGUAAGUCAAUGGAGGGAAUGAUACCCUCUAAUUAAGAACUUACUUGACUGACCUUUGAAACAGACCCAGUUCUUCCAAUGAUAGGAUCCCAGAAUCUUCAGCAAGAAAUGAGCUUGGAGAUGAUUUCCCGUCAAUUUAGAAAUGAGGAAACGUGACCAGAGAGGGGAAGUGACUUGCUCCCAGUCACACAGCAGAUUCUCGACUUCCGGGCCAGGUUCCUCCCCUCCUGUAUUUGCUCUGUCUCCUGAGCUAGUGGGCCUGGGUGGCUUGACCAGACCUCUCUGGCUCUCACGUCUCACCACUUGCUCAGUAGCCGGGGACGGGGACUGAAAAGGGCAUAAGGCAAGCCCCCACACCAGGUCAGGGGGCACAUGGAGAGCAGUUUGUGGGGAGAACACAGGAAAGCAAUUGGCUGAAUGAGUGUUUGGGAUCAACACUGCCUUUCAACCACACAGAGACUUUGGACGGUUACUGUUGCAAACACCUCUCCAGUUCCUUCCUUAACUUGAGCCUGUGUAUGUGACACCCUGGGGGGUGGGCAGAAGGCCAGUGAUAGCUGUGUUUAACAGGUGGCCUGAGCCCCAGAGGACGAUGGGUGAUCUGGGUCACACAGCUGGGGGGACCAGGCCUGGAAGCCGUGGCUCCCCCUUUACCUGGCCCAGCCUGCAGGGAGGCCUCUAAGGCUUUUCAGGGGUCCCCCUGGUGGGGAAUGGGUUCCUUUGGUGGUUGGCAGAGCCACAGGAGUCCUGUGACCUUCCCGCUUGUGGUGAGCUCGCCAAACCUGCCUGACACCUGAGCUCCAAUGGCUUCUUUUCAGGCCCAGCUCAUGUUCCUAUUUGGGGGACAUGGCCCUGCUUGGAAGUAACUGAAGACCCCCGUGUUCUCUUAGAGAUGGAAACUGAACCAUAACUUCUGGUGGGGCCUGGGUAGUCAUGACAGAGAGCUGGUGUUACCGCAAGGGUUGCCUUCUGCAACUCCCUGAGCUCAUUUGCUUUUGUUUGCCUCAGGACCCGGGGACCUGGUGCCUCUCCUGCAUAAGGCAGGCUUGGCUCCCAGCCCAUCUUCUCUAUCUAGAGAACCAUCCUCACAAACUCAUCUCAGCCACAACCUCCUGUGGGAGAUCUUUGUGCCCCAAGUCAAAGAGCCUCCGGCUCCCCAGACCCCCUGUUCUUAGACUUUAGCAUCAGAUGCUGAAAUUGCUGGUUUCUUCAUGGGGGCGGGGAGGGUUAGGGAGUGGGGGUCAAGUCUGCAUUUGAAAAGGACAUGUUUGCUUCAGCUACAGGGAGUAAUGUACUCUGCAGUGUUUUUAUUAAAUUUCCAAAUUGUGAAGUUCAGCCCUUUAUCCUUACAGAUUUUUUUUUGGUUGCUUGAUCAGCUACUGAAAGAGGUGUAUUAAAAUCUACUUCAAAAAAAAAUAAAAUCUACUUCAAUGCUGAACUUGUCAGUUUCUCCCCAUAGUUUUGUCAGUCGAUGCCAUAUACAAUUUGAUGCUCUCUCAUUGUGUGCAUGAAGGGUUUUAAUUUUUAUCUUUAUUGAUGCUUUUUAUCAGUAUUUAUGCCUCUUUCUAUUUAUACCAUGGUCCUUCCUCCAUUUCAACUUACAUGAUGAGAUUUUUCCCUUUAAUUUUUAAGGACUACAUAUGGAUAAACCAUGAUUUAAUUACCUAGUCCUCUGUUGUUGAACAUUGAUUGUAUCUAAUUUUUCACUUUUAUAAAUGUCACUGGAAUGGAAUUUUUGUAUACAACUCUCUCUUCUUAUUUCUUCUGCACAGAGUCCUAGUAGUGGAAUUAUGAGGUCAGGGCAUAUAAACGUUUUAAAGGCUUGUCAUAUCUGUUGUUCCUUCAUGGCUAUUGAUCAAAUUAGAAUUUUGAGUGUGGAGUCACCCAGUUGGCUCUGGUUGAGCUAUGUGUUCUUAAAAUCGCUCAGUGUUUUAGGCGUGGUCUUUUUUUGUCGACCAGGCAUCCCCCACAUUUAUGCACUUGGUGGACAAUAAAUGUAAUUGAGAGCUUUAUUCCUGUUACAUUUCGCCUGUUAGUUUUGGCCCAGCCCGCCGAUGCCUCAGCCUCUGAUUCAGUCACCGAUGUGGGGCCAUGCCUUCUGUAACUUCGCUUGGGUCAAGAUGGUAAUGAGAAGAGGACCCCACAGGGAUAUUGAAUUCUUAAGACUAAUAGUUUAUUACACAUAUACUAUGCACCAUGCAUUAUAUAUAUGUUAACUCAUUGAAUCAUCACAAAAUCCCUCAAAAGGCACUUUAAGAGGUAGAAAAUGAAAUUCAGAGAGGGAGACUCUUAACUAGUCACCCUGCUCCGAGUGAGCGGAGCCACGAUUCCAGCCCUGGGCUCGGGUUCCAGCCUGCGACCCAAAUUGCCAGCCCUGCUCUACAGGAAUCCACCAGCAGGUGGCAGUAGUGCUAAUGGGCCUAGGAAGAACCUCUUGCUGGAGAUCAGAAAUAGCCACAAACCUGGAUUUUCUUCCUAUAAAGUAGCACUGACUCUUAUUGACAGGCCUAAAACUAGAUUAUUCAAUAAAAUAAACAUUAACCCAGCGGGCACAUUCCUCAGGGUAAAAAGAUAAUAAAGUAAAUAGACCUUUGACCGUGGCCCUCUCUUGCCUAGAUUUCAUCACUGUGAUUCCUCAGGGGGAAUCUGCUUUGAACUCACCUGCACUUGGAUGAUCCUUCCUGACUUUCCACCCACCCUUUGCUGCUCCUGCCCCUGCCUUUCCACCCCUGGCAGAAAUCAAGGCUGUGGGGCCAUAUCCUCAGCCGGGAGAGCCUGUCAGAGCCUGGAGCAAGGGUUUUAGAGAGGGGAACUUGGUGGCCUGUGGAAACCCUUGGGGACUGGGGUAGUCCUAUUUUUGGAAAGAAUCUUCGACUCACGGCCCAACCACCCGUCCUUCAACCUAUCCAACUUGUAUGCGAGAAUGUGCCUCUUUCUGAUCUAGGAGCCCACAAACCCCUCUCAUUUCUUCAGUCUCACACUCGCAGUUUGAGAUUUUUCUGCCUCCUUUAAAAAAAAAAAAAAAAGGUUUUAUUCUUUAUUUUUGGAGUUCCUGAACAAGCACGAGGGCUUUGCUUGCUGUUUUCCCCCCUUGCCCAGCAGCAUCUCUUUCAUACCCUUUGUACAAGCACACAUGUGUAUUGUCUAACUGCGUCUAUCCUUCAACAGAAAUAGAACAGCAAAAGGAUUUUUUUAACGUUUCACCACAUGUGGGUUCUGCCUAAAUGGUCCAGGGUUGAAUUCCAAGCCUCCCCCAGCGGUGUCCCUUGCUGCAAUCUGACUGCUCCCAUUGCCCAGUCUUCAUGCUUGGGGGAGGGUCUCUCGCAGGCAGACAAGUUCCUGACUGUUAGGGACCUCAAGGUGGGGCUGCUGCUGGAGAAGCAGCCAGGGGUGGCAUUCUAAGCUCCACCCUUUGCAAAGUCUGUGAUUUUAAGGUACGCCCCUAGAGUUUUUGAGACUUGGUUUUCUCAGUGCAAAGUGGGCAUAAGCAUAGCAUCUACUGUGCAGAAAUGUUGUGUUAGGUACAAUAAUGCCUGUAAAGUGCCUAGCAUAGCACCUGGCACACUGGGCCAAGUGCUUGGUAAUGCUGGCUGUUGUUCAGUUAAGUAAGGAUGGAGGUAGCUCAUGGGAUCAUGGAACAAUAUUGCUGAUGUGCCUGGAGAGGUCAGGCUACACUGUGGUCUGAGUGCUCAUUUCCCCCCAGAUUGAUAAUGUUGAAAGCCUUAUGCCCAGCCUGAUGGUGUUAGGAGGCGAGGUGUGUGGUUCAGAGGGUGGAGGCCCCCAGGAACGGAAUUAGUGCACUUACAAGAGAGACCUCACGGAGCUCUCUCAUCCCUUCUGCCAUAUGAGGGUCCAGAGAGAAGUUGGCAUCCAGAAGAGGGCUCUCACCACAACCUGAUUCAGCCAACAUUCAACCUUGGACUUCUAACCUCCAGAACUGUGAGCAACUUCUGGUGCUUAUCAGCCACACCAUAUGUGGUGUGAUGUCAGGGCAAUCCGAAAGGACUAAGGCAGGAUAGUUCUCUCAAAUAACCAGAAGUCUUGCUUCACCAACUUGGAUGAAAAUAAGAAACUAUUAUUUAAGGUCCAAAUAAGCAAUUCCAAGCUCCCAACAUACAACUUGUUAAAAAAUACCUCCUGUUAUUUGUCAGUUAUACUUCAGUAGAACUUUUAAAAAAUGUGUCCUGUCAAUAAUGAAUCUAGAAACCCUUAGUGGUUCUCAGUCAUGGUCAUUUCAUGUCUGAGAAGAUACAGGAGGCCAGAAGGACCAUUCACCAUGCGGCCUGCCACCUAGGCCACGACUGUUUCUCAGGGUUGUCUCUGCAGGUUGUGGUCAGCUGGCCUGGGCUUCCAUGGCAGUGAUGUUUUAGAAAUAAAGCUCUUUGAACGCUGGGCUUCCCAGGUGGCUCAGCAGUGAAGAAUCUGCCUGCAGUGCCGGAGACACGGGUUUGAUCCCUGGGUCAGGUAGAUACCCUGGAGAAGAAAAUGGCAACUCACUCAGUAUUCUUGCCAGGAAGAAUCCCAUGGGCAGAGGAGCCUGGCAGGCUACAGUCUGUGUGGUCGCAGAAAGUCGGACACAGCAGCACACACACGCCUCUUUGAACUUCUCCACACAGAUGCUGGUCAGCCGGGGCUGGUGUUCUCCAAGGCUCUGAAUCCUUCAAGGGCUCUUUGUGUCCCCUGGAAGCUGUCCCUCAUUGCAGCUGCCAGCAAAAGUAAAAUGGCAUCCAAGGAUGCUGUUAAUCCCCCUUCAACCCUGCAGCAAGCAUCAACUCACUGUCAUCCCCAGAGCUGCUUCCCAUCCUCCCAAAACUCCGAGUUCCAGAAUCCCUGGAGGAAGUCCUUCAUCUCCCAGCCCCAAGUUCACAGCAACCCUGGACUCCUCUUCCCAGCAGCACCUCCCAUUUCCUUCAGGAGAAGCCACCAUCCUGUUGCUCCUGUAUUUGGGCGAGACAACUGCAGCCUAAGAGAGGCAAGGAGACCACCCAGUACACACAGCUGGUCAGUGUAUAGAGCUCACAGGUUCUGACACACAGCAUAGAGCUCUUUCCCCAAAGCAUAAGGGGCCUGAGUUAGAGUGGAGAAAUUGGGAGUGGCCAGGGGUCAGGAACAGGACAGUUAAGAUAGGCCGUUGUUGACUUUGCAGUUCAUGGGGGUAGAGGUGAUGAGGGGGCCCAGGCGUGCUGAAUGUUGUUUUGCAUUUUUGAUAGAAACUUCCCUUAAGAGCUGUGCAAUUAGGUGCUUAAUGAAUCAAAUAGUAUUUUGAAGAUUAGAAGGAAAUACCCAGUGCUGGCUUAUGGCUAUAGGGCUGUUUUAAAAACCAAAACCGUGAAGUCUGGGGACUGAAUUCCACUCAUUUGAAUGUGAGCUGCCAUUAAUUUGUAGAUUGAAUUUGGGGCCCUAACAAGGCGCACAUAAAUUAGCUAAUUAGUGCUAAUGUCUGCAACUGCUCUCAGGACAAUUAGUGAGGGAGGCGUGCAAGCCUAAGAACGUUAAGUCAGGCUCUUCUUUUUCUUGGUCAGCUGCGUAAAUGCGGGGCUGCAGAAAGCACAGGAACACACGUGAGUAUACCACUACCAUCCCAGAAGCUGCCACGCAAGUGGAUGGGGCCAACACGGAGUUGCCAGAGACCAGAGAGCCUGUUGGCUUUGACCUCUCUGUGCUCGAGACACUUCUCCUUUUUGCGACCAGGAGCUUGGGAUGCCUGCAGGAGAGAUGAGGGAGUUCAUCCAACUUGGGGUUGCAGGAUGGAGCAUCCAGGCACCUGGGAGCCCUUCAUCCCAGACGCUUAGAGAAGGAAGCCCUUGCUCUAGGUGCUGGCUUCUCCUUCCACCUUGAGAUGGUGGAUCUCCCGAGUGUGGAGCCUGGGCCAGCAGCAUCAGCAUCACGUGGGAACUUAGAAAUCCAGAUUCUCAGCCUCACUCCAGGCCUACUGAAUCACAGGCCGCGCAGGUGGUGGGGACAGCACUCUGCUGCGGUGGUUCUGACGCACCCUCAGGUUUAAGAAGUUCCUCCCUGAGGGGGUCCUGGGAUGGUAAGAGUGGCCUGCGUUCCAAUGCUGGCUUCACAGUGGGUGGGACUAGGCUGAGCUCGGCACCUACAUUUUGAUUGUACAAAGGCUGGCUGGCUGUGUGUACCCUCCCUCCAGCUGCUUCCAUUGCCUCACCCCAUUCCCAGACCUGUCUUCCCACUGGAUGGAGAGCCUGUGCCAGGUUGGCAGUUUCAAACCUCUCCUUAGAGCCUUAUUAUUCAAGUGACGUCAGCCCACCCAGUGUCCACCACCCAGGCAUUUUCUCCCUAGGAUUUCAGGCAGAUUCUUUACUGUCUGAGCCACCAGAGAAGCCCUUGGAGCCCCAGGGAAGUACCUUGACAGCUUAGAACCAAAUUGCUCAGGUCUUGUAAUACGUUCUGCUCUGAUGCCAGAAAAUGCCUGCCUCCUCUGCCUCCUUCAGAUGGACUCUGAGCUCUUUCAUCCUUAUAUGUCAAGUCUUGUUCUGUGUUGCAAACAGUCAGCCAACUUAGGAAGCAAGCACGGCACAGAUUUUAAUGUAAAUAUUUUUUUCAAUCAGCAUUUUAAUGAAUGUGAUCAAUGUACACCAAAAUUCAGAUGCAAGGCCAAAAAUUAUAAACACAGACAAAAAGAUAAGUCAAGCAUUAGAGAGGAACAACUGAUGAAUAUUGUUUUAAAACAGAAAAACCUAUAUAAAUUCAUAUUGCUAUAAAUAA